GGCCCGUUGGCCCAACUGAAACAUUAGUCCGCCUUCUCCCCCGAGACCCCCGAGAGUCCCCUCGCUGCCGACGCCACACAAACGCCUCCACCCUCAUGUUCACCGGCGCUGCGGGCGGCAUUGGCAACCUGCCACGGCCGCGCAGGCCGCGGCUCGGCGGAAUAGGACACGGGGGCGUCAUGGUGUCUCCACAGGGACAGGUGGCUCUGGGGGCACAUCCGCACCUAGCCGCCCCGCCGUGCACCGACUACGACGUGGCCUACUUCAAGGCCUACUCACACAUCGGCGUCCACGAGGAGAUGCUCAAGGAUCAUGUGAGAACUAGUACUUACAGAAAUGCCAUAAUGCAUCACAAAGAUCUUAUUUCAGGCAAGGUAGUUUUGGAUGUGGGUUGCGGCACUGGUGUUCUUUCGAUAUUCUGUGCUUUUGCUGGUGCCACUCGUGUUUAUGCAGUUGAUGCAAGUGAUAUUGCAUUUCAGGCUAUGGAGAUUGUAAGAGAGAAUGAGCUGUCUGACAAAGUUGUGGUUUUGCAUGGCCGAAUUGAGGAUGUCGAUAUUGAAGAAAAAGUUGAUGUCAUCAUAUCUGAAUGGAUGGGCUACAUGCUUUUGUAUGAGAGUAUGCUGGGAAGUGUAAUUUUUGCUAGGGACAAAUGGCUUAAGCCAGGAGGUCUUAUUCUUCCAUCGCAUGCAUCGCUUUACAUGGCACCUGUUACGAAUUCUCAAAGAUACCAUGAUAGUAUUUACUUCUGGCGAGAUGUAUAUGGCAUAAAAAUGUCCUCUAUGAUGCCUCUUGCGAAACUAUGUGCGUUUAUGGAGCCAUCAGUUGAGACAAUUAGUGGAGAGAAUGUCUUGACAUGGCCAGCAGUGGUUGCACAGGUGGAUUGUUAUACCAUACAAGCUCAGAAGCUCGAAACCAUCACUGCUGCAUUUAAAUUUACGUCAAUGUUACAAGGGCAGACCUGGUGCAGUAGUGAGAGCUGUUUCACCAAGUCACCAAGUCAUGGGUUCGAAGUAACCUCUCCACAUUUUCGUGGGAAAAGCUUGCCUUGGUUUAUCCCUUUCCGAGACCCCACUCAUGUGGGAGCCUCCGACAUUGUGUCUACCCUUUUUAUAAGCCUACACUCGUUUCAAAGCAUGCAUAUACUGCUUUCUUCCUGUUUUGCACUCGGUUGUUAGCUGUAAUUGGGAUUAGACAUGCACUGUGAUGAGAGACUUUUUUCAGUGCUUUCAGUUAAAGGGAUGAGCCUUAGUUGUAAGUUGUAUUUCCCAACGCUGAGAAUGAGGAUGGCAUGCUACUUUUUCCAUGUAUAUCAAUCCAGGAUGUUUCUAAUUUCUUGUAACUACUACAAAUUUCCUAAAACAUUAUAUAAGGAUACAAUGUUCUAAUGCUUUGGGAAGUUAGGAUAUGAUGUUCUAAUGCUUGAGCUGGAAUGCAAUCAACAAGAGCAUUUGAGAGAAUCUUUCAUACAUGUGACUUAUUUUGAGGUGGUGCUAAUAAAUCCACCUCUUCUGUGUAGCUAAUUAUGGAGAUAUAUUAAUCUGGCUUAUCUUAUAAUUUUGUGACUGCUUGCCCAGUUACAGGCCUGAUCAGAGUUUAGUUUUUACCCAUGAUUGGUGGAAUAUAAUGUGCUACAUGUGGUGUUUGAUCUGAUACAGCUCCAUUGCAUGGUUUUGCAUUUUGGUUCGAUGUUGAGUUCAAUGGACCAGUACGCCAGAAAUCGAAGAAGCAACCUAGUCAAUCAUUGGAUGAGAACACCCAAAAUGCCAGCCCAAGCAAUAGGAAGAGAAAACCAGAUGUCUCUAUUGUUCUUUCAACUGCACCAGAGGAUGCCCCUACUCACUGGCAGCAGACCCUUUUGUACUUGUUUGAACCUAUAGAACUAAACAAAGAUCAGAUCAUAGAAGGCUCUGUUACUAUCUCCCAGAGCCAGCAACAUGCUCGCUUCCUUAACAUCUGCCUGAAAUACUUUACUGGCGACCAAUGGUAUGUCAAAGAAUCUGUGAUGCGAUAAUCUGGGGGAAACUGAAACAUAGUAACCUUCUUUCUGAAUAGGCUCAAAUCUGUUUUGUAUGAAGGACAACCUUGCUGCUGGUCAUUGCGGUUUAGGAGCAUUCUGACUGUACUGGGUUGUCGUGGUAGCAAAUUGAUAAAAAAUGGAGUGCCAUUUCGAGUGCAGCUUGAUCAAAAUGGUAGUGGGCCUCGACAAGUAAUAUGUGAAUCUUUGGCUCCAAACUCAAAUUGACGAACAAAACAUAGAACAUGUUGACAAGAGUAGUACCGUUUUCUUUUUUUUUUUGUUCUUUUGAAUAGGUACAAGCUGCUGGUACUUUAUUCCCCAUAAUAGACUGCUCAUUCAUUGUAACGCUUCUGCAGCGUGUAGUGCAGCAUAGACGGUAUGAUUUUACAAAUGGUAGCAUUGAAUUUUUACGAGUGGAGUUUUUGAAGAGUAAAAUGCAUGAAUAAAAUGUGCAUGGUGUCUGGACAAGUAGAAUGCAUGGUGAAUGUCAGUUUGUUUCAA